AUUAGAUACCCGGGUAGUCCCAGCCGUAAACGAUGCACGUUAGGUGUAUCGAUGACCACGAGUCAUCGAGGUGCCGAAGGGAAACCGUGAAACGUGCCGCCUGGGAAGUACGGUCGCAAGGCUGAAACUUAAAGGAAUUGGCGGGGGAGCACCACAACAGGUGGAGCCUGCGGUUUAAUCGGACUCAACGCCGGAAAUCUUACCGGGACCGACAGCAAUAUGAAGGCCAGGCUGAAGACUUUGCCGGAUUAGCUGAGAGGAGGUGCAUGGC
rnacentral:rRNA from 1 species